rnacentral:lncRNA from 10 species
CCUGUCUCUACUAAAAAUACAAAAUUAGCCGGGCAUGGUGGCGGAUGCCUGUAAUCCCAGCUAUUUGGGAGGCUGAGGCAGGAGAAUUGCUUGAACCCAGGAGGCGGAGGUUGCAGUGAGCCGAGAUCACGCCAUUGCACUCCAGCCCGGGCAACAAGAACAAAACUCCAUCUCAAAAAAAAAAAAGUGCUUCUAGUAAAUAACACAUAACUUUUGUUUUAUAACCCAAUGUUACAGUCCCUCUCUUAUAGGAGAACCCAAUCCAUUCAGUUUAUCAGUGAUAUGCCUGUUUUUGUGUGUUCCAUCGGACUUUGUUUCCUUUUUUCGAUUUUGUUAUUGUUUCCACCUUUUCAAUUUUCUUACAUUUGUUGGCUCUCUCAAGCUUCUGUUUAUUCCCCUUCUCCCUCCCUUAGUAAUUUGGAAGUUCUACUCUGCUUAUCAAUUCUUCUGAUGAUUAUCUUUCCAUUCCUUAUAAGCAUAAUUCACAUUUUCUCUAUUGGUAGAUUAAGCACACACAUGGGCGCACACACACACACACACACACACACACACACACACACACAGGUGUGUUACUGGCCUUUACUCCUAAUUUCUCAGGAGAAUGAACCAUUUAGAAUGUUUUUACCUCUUCAUUCUGCCCUCACCCAAAAUUUCUGUUCUUAGAAAAGAACAGAUCUUUUUUUUUCUGAGUUUUUUUUUUUUUUAAUUAGAAGAGACGCUGGAAGCAUGAUGACAGCAGCGUAGUUUUCACUCUCUUGUUAUGCCAGCAUACAGACAGAGCAACCAGAUGACAAAAUCAAAACCCAUGGGUAAUAUUUACGGUGAGGCCAGUAGACACAGUGUCCCCAGUGUGGCAGAUUUUCUGCAGAUAGGGCUGCCAGCUGUAUUUCCAACCCUGUAUGUGUUUGCCACCCUCCCAUCAAGACAUGGUGCCUAUUUUUUCAUCCUUUGUGUCUGGGCUGGCCUUGUGUUCCAUUUGACCAAUAAGGUAUGGUAGAAAUGGCAUUCUGGGACUUCUGAGCCCAACCUUAAAAGACAUUGAACUUUUGCUUUAGUGAGAGGGGAAUCAAGAUACCCUGUAAAGAGGUCUGUGCUGUCCUUCUGAAGACAGAGGUCCUGGAAGAUGAGACACUUUUUAAAAAUAGGUCAUGCAGCGCUGUGGCAGCCACCCAGCUAGCUCAGUUGGUAGAGCAUGAGACUCUUAAAUAUAGGCCAUGUACAUAACUGAGGCCCCAGCUGGCAGCUAGCACUGAGGUCUCAGUCGUAUCAUGAAAUUAUCUUGCAUCCUCCAGUACCAUUCCAGCUUCUCCAGGCAUCAUAUAGAGAAGAAACAAGUCUGGGCGUGGUGGUUCACACCUGUAAUCCCAGCACUUUGGUAGGCCGAAGCAGGCAGAUCAUCUGAAGCAGUGAAGCAAGGAGUUUGAGACCAGCCUGGGUAGCAAAGCAAGACCUCAUCUCUACUAAAAUAUAUUAGUCAGGCACAGUGGCACAUGCUGGUAGUCCCAGCUACUCAGGAGGCUGAGGUGGGAGGAUUGCUGUGCCCAGGAUUUUGAGGCUGCAGUGAGCUAUGAUCGCACUACUGUACUCCAAUGGUCAACAGAACAAGAUCCCACCUCUUAAAAAAAAGAAGAAGAAGAAGAAACGAGCCAUCCCCACUGAGCCAUGCCCAGAUUCGUGAGCAAUAAAAUAGUUAUUAAUCCACUAAGUUUUGGUGUGGUUUACUUACACAGCAAUAGAUAGCUGAAAUAUCCAUGAAUAUCAAAAUACACAUGAGUAAGCCCAAGUCACCAACAGCCACAACAACUUCAUGGUACAAUUAUCUGUAUAGGAAAAAGCAGGGGGAAGUAAGCAGUAUUUGCCAGACCUGAGAACACAAUACCAAAACAGCCAAUGGGCAUGGCAGACCAACUUGAAUUCAGCAGCUGAAACUGGGAGGAAUUUUGCAAAAUUCAGCAACGAGUGAGAGGGGUCU